GAUGAAGAACGCAGCGAAAUGCGAUACGUAAUGUGAAUUGCAGAAUUCAGUGAAUCAUCGAAUCUUUGGACGCAUAUUGCGCUCUCUGGUAUUCCGGAGAGCAUGCUUGUUUGAGUAUCAGUAAACACCUCAACUUCCAUAUCUUUUUUGAAAUGGGAGUUGGACUUGAGUGAUCCCAACGCUUUUCCUCACCGAAAAGUGGCGGGUUACUUGAAAUGCAGGUGCAGCUGGACUUUUCUCUGAGCUAUAAGCAUAUCUAUUUAGUCUGCCUAAAAAACAGAUUAUUACCUUUGCUGCAGCUAACAUAAAGGAGAUUAGUUCUUGUGCUGACUGAUGCAGGAUUCACAAAGACAGGCUUCGGCCGACUUUGUAAACUCGAUCUCAAAUCAAGUAAGACUACCCGCUGAACUUAAGCAUAUCAAUAAGCGGAGGA
rnacentral:misc_RNA from 1 species